GGUUCUUCCUCUCUCUUUCUCUCUUAAAACCUAAAACAAAUUCUCUUUGUUUCAUUUUCCUUUUAAAUUAACUUCUCUCAUUUUCUUUUCCCCUCCAAAUUAUCACUUAUCAAGAAUUUGCGAGGAAUAACUUUUUUCCCGGUAAGCUUUUUUUUUUUUUGGGUGUGUGUGCAUUUAUUUAUAUAUUUUUUAUACUACCUAUUUAUAAUCAUAACCCAUGAUUUAGUUUGUUCUAAAAGAUGCCAUCAUUGUUAAUGUUUAAUCUUCUUCACGUUCAUGCAUGUUCUUGCUUUUCCGGUGGCAUUUUAAUGGAUAUAUCUAAUUCUCCGAUGGUAGCUGAAACUGCUUAAACCGGUCUUUUUUUUUUUUUUUUUGUAUUUCUAGAGUCUAGACCAUCAAUUGUGAUUCCCUUUGACGAUUUCUGUUACCGGAAAGACCGGUUGACAUAAAAUCUAGAACUAAGAAACAAAACGAAAAAGCGGUUGUUGUUCGUUGUUUCAAAAAUUUACGCUCUACGAAAUAAACGAGCGCGUGUGUAUCACGCUAGUCGAAGGUCAGGAGGAUUGAGUCACACGCGCGAUUGGAAGUGUUGUUAGAGUUAUGGAGAAGUUUCAGUUCGGUUACGAGUGAACUUUUUCUCUUUCUUUUUAGUAGUAAAAGGAAACGAAUGGCUUUCCACCGUACACGUGUCGUGACUAGGUCCCAUCUCUUGACUGGGCCUCGCGGCCCAUUUGACCUUAACCAUAGUUUUUAAAAGCUUUCUAGGGCCCAAGCACUUGGUUUUUUAAUUGGUCUCAUGUGCAAAUGACACGUGGUAAAACGUCUGAAAACAAAUGCCACGUGGUAAAACGUCUGAAAACAAAUGCCACGUGUAGAGUAGGAUGGCAGUGUCUCGCCGACAAGUCCCUUCAGUUACAUGGGAUCCACAGCGUAGGCUUUUUGAAAGAAACGACUCGUACCUAAAAAACCGGUCAGCAGCAUGUUAUGACGGUGAGUUGUUCUGGUGAUGGACACAACUCUUUCGCAUGCAAGCUUUAACUAAGGUUUUUGUCAACUUUAGUAAAUGAUUUUUUAUUUUUAGAUUUCAAAAAUUAGGAAAUUUUGGUAUACUUAGAGGUGGCUCUUUGUGAGUGGUUGUGACAACAAUAUAAUGUGCUACAGUCAUUAAAUUAAAAAUAAUAAUUUACUUAUAAAGUUGUGAUACAAAAUUAUAUUCUAAAUGGUGUAACAUUUGAUAUGUCAUUCAUUUCACUAAUAUUUUCAGUUAUUUUGUUACAGAUAUGUAAAAAGUCAACUAUUACAAUACAGUAAAUAAUGAUUAGUGAUUUUAAAUACAAAGGUUUCUUGUUGAAAAUUUCAUUAUCGUUACAAAUUAAAUAUAUCUGAAGAGUUUUCUAAUAGAGUGCAAGAAUUGAAGGCGUUGAGUUUUACUUAAAAAGUAGAGUAAAAUAAAUUUUCUUUUUCACUAUAAUUAUCAGUGUUUUCAGAAAAGUUUUUAUCUUUGCCAUUAGCUAUGUGUAGUUCGUCAUUGAUUUGUUUGGAUUUAUCAUAUAGAAAAACCGACCAUCUAUCUAUAAAAUAUUAACUAUUAAAGAUCUCAAAGCUGUUCCUAUACUACUUUAAAAACAUUUCAUACAAAAUCAUUAAGUUCAUUGUUUGAUACCUGGCAAACAAUGCCCUAUUGGUCGGUCGGUCAAUGCAUUAUUAGGUCAAAACAAUAGAUGCUUUACUUAGAACAGAAGUCACUAUGAAGCUUUCGAAAACAUUCUUCAUCAUCAUAAUCAAUUUAAAAUGAUCCAAGACUUGACUUCUAACAUAUAUGAAUGUUUUAAGUUUUAACUGCGGUUCCUAGUAGUUUCAUUAGACCCAGACACCUUUGUCUGCUUCCAAGAAAGACUUUUCGAUAAGUCUAAUAUUUGUCUAAAACGUGUCCUUCGUACAACGCCAAAAGAUUUUCCAAUUGUUACUUUUGCGUCGGACACGGGAUAUCUGUCUUUUUGUUCUCUUUGUUUAUUAUUUUAUUUUUUUAACUUUUCUUUUUUCCAAGUGAAAAUUUUCUCACUUUUCACACUUUCGGUUUAAAAGAAAGUCAUGGUCCUCACUCCUCAUUGAUGGCGAAAUUUUUCAAAAGAGGGCAAGUCAAUUCAUGGCUUCGUAGGAUACACGUGUGUCCUUGGGACCUGUCGUAUGUGCAUGCAUGCUAGGGUUUUUGUUUGGUGUCGUGAUUAGCGGAACACACGAGUACACAACUACUCUUUCUAAUUGCUUUUCCAAUUAAAAAUGAAUUAAGGAUCCCUCUAAAUUACAUGUAUGUACCUUACAUUCCUAUCACAUAAAUAAUAUCCAACUUAGCAUUACCCAUGAAUUAAUUGGCGGUAGUAAGAGUUUUACUACGAGCACAAUAAACAAAGCGAUCUUGUAGGAAAAAGUCUGAGGACCAAUUAGUAAAUGAUGCAUCAACUGGGGACUAAAAAGGAAAACCACCUUUUUCCGUUCUUUAAAAAAAAUAUAUAUAUAUUGACAAGUACACAAUUAUGUGAUGUAAUAUUAGAGACGUUGAUUUCGGUUAACGUAUGCCCUGAGCUACUCAUGAAGAGGACCCAUGUCAAUAAUGUCUUUAUGCCCUUAAAUUAAAUUAGUCUAGUUCAAUUCUGUUGGAAAAUGAAGUAGCUAUUAUGGUAGUUAAAGUGGAGCCAUACAUUCUAUUUAUUAAUUAUUUAUUACUAUAUUACAUAUAUUUAAAUCUAAUGUUGUUUAAAAUCUUUAAUUUCUAGCUAGUUCAUGUCACAGUCAUCCGAAUCAGAUGAUUGUAACUAUACUCGAGUUUGAAUUUAACUAGCCAUGUAAUGUUGAGUCAUCGAAUCUAAUUUAUUUGAUCAAUUGUGUUAAUUUGCUCACUUUUGUCUUUUAAUAUUGUCACAAUUUGUACUUUGUCUUCGACAUAAGUGGUUCCCCUUGAAACUGGAAAGUGACAUUUAUUUAUUUAUUUUUUUCCUUAAACUUUCUGUUCUUGGAUAAUGGAUAAUGGCUCGGUUCACAAACACUUGUGGCAUAAUUGUUUCUUGAAAAUGACCUUAAAAAAAAAAAGUACUUCAAUCAUUUUUUUAUACGUAUAUGCAGGUGCUGUAUUACACCACAGACCUUUGAAAUGUUGACCCGAAAGCUUCACUUCACCUAUUUCCCAACUAUCAGAAGAUUUUAAGAACCUACUUAACCAGAGCAUUUUCUAUGUGAUUAUUAUUAUUAAUUAUAAUUAUUAGUUCAUGUAUUUAGAGAAGUAUUAUGUGUAAUUGUCACGGCGUUGAAACCUCACAUCAAGAGUGCUUUCGAAAGUAUUUUGGAAAGCAAAAGAAUAUUUUGUUUUAUGUUAUCUGAAAGCAAUUAGCAACAUUGGUAAUAUAUAUAAUAUCAACAACACUUUUAAAUACAAUUUAAUUGAUAUAAUUGGUUCUCUGGCAG
rnacentral:lncRNA from 1 species